GACGGGGGAUGCAAGCGUUAUCCGGAAUGAUUGGGCGUAAAGGGUCCGCAGGUGGCCCGGUCAGUCCGCUGUCAAAGCCUGGGGCUCAACCCUGGAGAGGCGGCGGAGACCACCGGGCUUGAGUCCGGGUAGGGGCAGAGGGAAUUCCCGGUGGAGCGGUGAAAUGCGUAGAGAUCGGGAAGAACACCAGCGGCGAAGGCGGCGACCUGGACAAGUACUGACACUCAACUACGAAAGCGUGGGGAGCAAACAGG
rnacentral:rRNA from 1 species